CCUACGGGUGGCAGCAGUCGAGAAUCAUUCACAAUGGGGGAAACCCUGAUGGUGCGACGCCGCGUGGGGGAAUGAAGGUCUUCGGAUUGUAAACCCCUGUCAUGUGGGAGCAAAUUAAAAAGAUAGUACCACAAGAGGAAGAGACGGCUAACUCUGUGCCAGCAGCCGCGGUAAUACAGAGGUGUCAAGCGUUGUUCGGAAUCACUGGGCGUAAAGCGUGCGUAGGCUGUUUCGUAAGUCGUGUGUGAAAGGCGAGGGCUCAAGCCGCGGACGGCACAUGAUACUGCGAGACUAGAGUAAUGGAGGGGGAACCGGAAUUCUCGGUGUAGCAGUGAAAUGCGUAGAUAUCGAGAGGAACACUCGUGGCGAAGGCGGGUUCCUGGACAUUAACUGACGCUGAGGCACGAAGGCCAGGGGAGCGAAAGGGAUUAGAUACCCUUGUAGUC
rnacentral:rRNA from 1 species